rnacentral:rRNA from 1 species
AUUGAACGCUGGCGGCAGGCUUAACACAUGCAAGUCGAGCGGGGUGAUGGUGCUUGCACUAUCACUUAGCGGCGGACGGGUGAGUAAUGCUUAGGAAUCUGCCUAUUAGUGGGGGACAACAUCUCGAAAGGGAUGCUAAUACCGCAUACGUCCUACGGGAGAAAGCAGGGGAUCACUUGUGACCUUGCGCUAAUAGAUGAGCCUAAGUCGGAUUAGCUAGUUGGUGGGGUAAAGGCCUACCGAGGCGACGAUCUGUAGCGGGUCUGAGAGGAUGAUCCGCCACACUGGGACUGAGACACGGCCCAGACUCCUACGGGAGGCAGCAGUGGGGAAUAUUGGACAAUGGGGGGGACCCUGAUCCAGCCAUGCCGCGUGUGUGAAGAAGGCCUUAUGGUUGUAAAGCACUUUAAGCGAGGAGGAGGCUCUUUUGGUUAAUACCCAAGAUGAGUGGACGUUACUCGCAGAAUAAGCACCGGCUAACUCUGUGCCAGCCGCCGCUGUAA